CCUACGUGCGGCAGCAGUGGGGAAUAUUGGACAAUGGGGGGAACCCUGAUCCAGCGACGCCGCGUGAGUGAAGAAGUAUUUCGGUAUGUAAAGCUCUAUCAGCAGGGAAGAAAGAAAUGACGGUACCUGACUAAGAAGCCCCGGCUAACUACGUGCCAGCAGCCGCGGUAAUACGUAGGGGGCAAGCGUUAUCCGGAUUUACUGGGUGUAAAGGGAGCGUAGACGGCGAUGCAAGUCUGAAGUGAAAGGCGGGGGCCCAACCCCCGGACUGCUUUGGAAACUGUAUGGCUGGAGGGCAGGAGAGGUAAGUGGAAUUCCUAGUGUAGCGGUGAAAUGCGUAGAUAUUAGGAGGAACACCAGUGGCGAAGGCGGCUUACUGGACUGUAACUGACGUUGAGGCUCGAAAGCGUGGGGAGCAAACAGGAUUAGAUACCCCAGUAGUC
rnacentral:rRNA from 1 species